AGAGCGAACGCUGGCGGCAGGCUUAACACAUGCAAGUCGAGCGGGCGUAGAAAUACGUCAGCGGCAGACGGGUGAGUAACGCGUGGGAACAUACCUUUUGGUUCGGAACAACCCAGGGAAACUUGGGCUAAUACCGGAUAAGCCCUUACGGGGAAAGAUUUAUCGCCGAAAGAUCGGCCCGCGUCUGAUUAGCUAGUUGGUGGGGUAAUGGCCCACCAAGGCGACGAUCAGUAGCUGGUCUGAGAGGAUGAUCAGCCACAUUGGGACUGAGACACGGCCCAAACUCCUACGGGAGGCAGCAGUGGGGAAUAUUGGACAAUGGGCGCAAGCCUGAUCCAGCCAUGCCGCGUGAGUGAUGAAGGCCCUAGGGUUGUAAAGCUCUUUUGUGCGGGAAGAUAAUGACGGUACCGCAAGAAUAAGCCCGGCUAACUUCGUGCCAGCAGCCGC
rnacentral:rRNA from 1 species